rnacentral:sRNA from 1 species
UAAGUUUAAGACUUCGCGAGAGCAGGGUUUCUUUUGGCGCCUCCUCUCCGCGCGUUCUUGGGGCUGGAGUGCAGUGGCACGAUCUUGGCUCACUGAAACCUCAGCCUCCCGGGUUCAAGAGAUUCUCCCACCUCAGCCUCUGGAGUAGCUGGGAUCACAGAGUCUCUGUUGCCCAGGCUGGAAUGCAAUGGUGCGAUCUCAGUCACUACAACCUCUGCCUCCCGGGUUCAAGCGAUUAUCCUGCUUCAGCCUCCCGAGUAGCUGGAAUUACAGGGUUGAAAGGAGGAGCAGGAGGUACUGAUGGACAAGGAGGUACCUUCCGGUACACCUUUCAUGGCGAUCCUCAUGCUACAUUUGCUGCAUUUUUCGGAGGGUCCAACCCCUUUGAAAUUUUCUUUGGAAGACGAAUGGGUGGUGGUAGAGAUUCUGAAGAAAUGGAAAUAGAUGGUGAUCCUUUUAGUGCCUUUGGUUUCAGCAUGAAUGGAUAUCCAAGAGACAGGAAUUCUGUGGGGCCAUCCCGCCUCAAACAAGAUCCUCCAGUUAUUCAUGAACUUAGAGUAUCACUUGAAGAGAUAUAUAGUGGUUGUACCAAACGGAUGAAGAUUUCUCGAAAAAGGCUAAACGCUGAUGGAAGGAGUUACAGAUCUGAGGACAAAAUUCUUACCAUUGAGAUUAAAAAAGGGUGGAAAGAAGGCACCAAAAUUACUUUUCCAAGAGAAGGAGAUGAAACACCAAAU